UACGUAGGUGGCAAGCGUUGUCCGGAAUCACUGGGCGUAGAGCGCGCGCAGGCGGCGAUCUACGUCUGGGGUGAAAGCCCGGAGCUCAACUCCGGGACUGCCUUGGAUACGGGAUCGCUUGAGAAUUGGAGAGGCAAGGGGAAUUCCACGUGUAGCGGUGAAAUGCGUAGAUAUGUGGAGGAACACCUGUGGCGAAGGCGCCUUGCUGGCCAAUUUCUGACGCUGAGGCGCGAAAGCGUGGGGAGCAAACAGG
rnacentral:rRNA from 1 species